CGCUGCAUUAAACCGGCAUGCAGCAACGCUAGCAGGCUGGGUUUUGAGAUCCAUUGUUUCAUGUUUUUUCUACUACCAGAGCUUAUUCCCUCACAAAAGAAGCCAGGGUAGAAAAAGCAAAUAGAAACACAAAAACAUUAAUGGACCUCAGCUUUGUCUGGCCAGAAAUAUUUCUACUUGGACACACUGUUGUGGACAAAGGAGAAAACACACUUCAGCUCAUUGCUGUUGACCAGGCUUGCGAUUGACUGCAUUCGGAAGUAAGCGCUCGCAGUGUGGUGGCUAUGGGGCUGCCUGGCGGAGCUUUGCUUUUCAUCUGGAAGUUAUUGCUGAUCUUUUUCUCCAUGUGGGCACUUGAUGCACAAACCACAUUGGAAACUAAACCCUUGUACAUCUGGCAAACAGGUCCAUGGGGUCGGUGUAUGGGAAGUGAGUGUGGACCUGGAGGCAGCCAGAGCAGAGCAGUAUGGUGUGCCCACUCUGAAGGCUGGACCACCCUCCAUACAAACUGUGAUCAGACAGAGCGGCCAGACAACCAGCAGAGCUGCUUCAGAGUGUGUGACUGGCACAAAGAUCUGUAUGAAUGGCAACUGGGUGCUUGGAACCAGUGUGUCCCAGUAAUGAUGCGCAGUGCUGGGGUGCAGCAGCCAACAGUGUGCAUACGUGGAGAGGAGGGCAUACAGACACGUGAAGUGGGCUGUGUUCAGAAAGCCGAUGGCGAGCCUGCAGAGGACGCAAUUUGUGAAUACUUUGAACCUAAACCAAGACAAGAACAAGCCUGUCUCAUACCUUGUCCUCGAGACUGUGUGGUGUCUGAGUUCAGUCCAUGGACUUCGUGUUCUAAAACAUGUAGGAUUGGCUUACGGAAUCGGAUACGCUUUGUUCUAGCACCACCACUGUUUGGUGGGUCUGCCUGUCCGAAUUUGACUGAAUUUCAGACGUGCCAGCCUGGCCUUUGUGAUGGAGAGGAAAACCUUUACAGCCUCAGAGUUGGACCUUGGGGCUCCUGUUCUUUACCAUUGCCAAGGCAAGUCAGACAAGCUGAAAAACCACCCACAGAAAGCAACAAAAGGUCCAGGGAAAGUGAUAAACCUACUAAAGACAGCAACAAACAGUCAAGAGACAGUGAAACACCAGCCAAAGGAGGUGACAAACAGGCCAGAGAGGACAGCAAACAGUCCAUGCGCAAAAAAAAAAAGAUGAGAGAUGAUGAAAAACAGUAUCAAGAAAAAGACACAAAGGCCACAGGUGAGGAGAAAGUGCCCAGAAAUGGUAACAAACCCUCCUUGGGAAACAGAAAAUUGAUCAGAGCAAACAGAAGACAAGGCAAAGCAUUCAGACAGGCAGAUCGACCCAAACGACAGAAGAAGGUAAAAAACAAGGCAAAAAAAGAGAAAAUGAGACAGAAAGUCAAAGAAAGAUUAAGAGAGAGGGGGAAGGCAAAAGACCCUGAGACAAGAGAGCUAAUUAAAAAGAAGAGGAACAAGAACCGCCAGAACCGCCCAGGAGGAAAAUUCUGGGAUCUGCAAGUUGGCUACCAGACCAGGGAAGUGACCUGUGUGCAUAAGAGUGGGAACAUUGAAGCUCUGAGCCUGUGCUCUCAAGAGACACUGCCAGUGACCUUUCAGGCCUGCGUGAUUUCCAGGGACUGUGAUGUGACUGAGUGGUCUGAAUGGUCAGCUUGUUCCAAGCAGUGUUAUGACCCCAACGAGGCAAAAGGGGAGCGCACUCGCAGCAGGAAAGUGAGUCAAUUCCCAAUCGGUGGAGGAGCGGAGUGCCCAGAACUUGAAGAAAAAGAGCCAUGCAGCCCCCAGGAAAGAGUAGUUCCACCAUGCACUUUCUACAACUGGAGGACCACAGAGUGGACAGAGUGUAGGGUGGACUUGCUACUAAGCCAGCAGGACCGUCGGCGUGGAAACCUGACAGGUUUGUGCGGAGGUGGAAUCCAGACACGCGAGGUCUAUUGUGUGCAGGCCACUGUGGAUACUCAGCCCAAUCUCAGUUCGCUAAGAAGUAGAGAAGGUUUGCGGCCAGUGGACAGUAAUCUGUGUUUGGAGGUUUCUCCGAAUACCACACAGCUAUGCCAUAUAGGCUGUCCUGUGGAAUGUGAGGUGUCUUCAUGGAGCGCUUGGGGACCCUGCACUUAUGAAAACUGUCAAGACCAAACCACCAAGAAAGGUUUUAAACUAAGGAAACGAAGGAUCAUCAAUGAGCCCACAGAUGGGACAGGAAACUGCCCUCAUCUAGUGGAGGCCAUACCGUGUGAAGACCCCAGCUGCUUCGAGUGGCUUGUGGUAGAACUGGAGGAGUGUAUCCCUGACAACGAGAAGCAGUGUGGACCUGGAACACAAAUUCCCCAAGUCCAGUGUAUCAACAGUGACGGUGAAAAGGUGGAAAAACAACUUUGUCGGGAUGCCAUCCUUCCGAUGCCCUCCAUCUGUGAAGUACCUUGCUCCAAAGACUGUGCUCUAAGCCCUUGGACUCCCUGGUCAUUUUGCUCCCACACUUGCUCUGGAAAAAACACAGAGGGAAAGCAGACCCGAGUUCGUUCCAUACUUGCACAUAAUGCAGGAGAAGGAGGACUCCAGUGUCCAAAUGUCAGUGCACUGCAAGAGGUGAGGAACUGCAAUGACCAUCCUUGCACUGUGUAUCAUUGGCAAACGGGUCCUUGGGGGCAGUGCAUAGAGGACUCCUCGAUCCCAUCCACCAACACAUCUGUGGGGAGAACGCGUGGCGAUGAUGUCUCAUGCUCAGUGGGAAUGCAAACCCGCAAAGUCAUUUGUGUCAGGGUCAACGUGGGCCAAGUUCCUCCUAAAAAGUGUCCAGAGAGUCUUCGUCCAGACACUGUAAGGCCGUGCUUGCUUCCUUGCAAAAGAGACUGCACUGUCACACCAUACAGUGACUGGAGCCCCUGCCCACCAACUUGUCAAACAGGUGGUAAGACUAAAAGCAAACAAUACAGGAAACGGAUGAUCGUCCAAUUACCAGCCAAUGGGGGACAAGACUGUCCUGAGGUUUUGACCCAGGAAAGGGAGUGUGAAGCACCAUCAAUUUGUCAUGGAUACAGAUGGAAAACCCACAAGUGGCGAAGAUGUCAGCUUGUCCCAUGGUCCGUCCGACAGGACACUCCUGGAGCUCAGGAGACCUGUGGGCCAGGCUUGCAGUUUCGUGCUGUUUCUUGCCGAAAGCUAGAUGGUGGGCAAGCAGAGGUUGAGGCUUGUCUUAAGCUUGCCAGCCCCAUGCCACCUCUCACCCAGCUGUGCCAUCUUCCUUGUCAAGAUGACUGUCAGCUCAGUAGCUGGUCCAGGUUUUCUACCUGCACAGCUGACUGUGUGGGCGUCAGAAACCGCAAGAGGAUACUAAUAGGAAAAAGUAAAAAGCGUGACCAGUGCAAAAACAACCAGAUGUAUCCUCUGAGUGAGACGCAGUACUGUCCAUGUAAUAAAUACAAUGCUCAGCCUAUGGGAAACUGGUCAGACUGUAUUCUCCCUGAGGGCAGUCGCAUGGAGAGCCAGCUUGGCAUGAGGGUACAAGGUGACAUCAAGGAGUGCGGACAAGGAUACCGCUUCCAAGCUAUGGUCUGCUAUGACCAAGACAAUCGUAUAGUGGAAACAUCUCGCUGCAACAGUCAUGGGUAUAUUGAGGAGGCUUGCAUCAUCCCCUGUCCAUCUGACUGCAAAUUAAGUGAAUGGUCCAACUGGUCACGCUGCAGCAAGUCAUGUGGCAGUGGGGUCAAAGUUCGCUCUAAGUGGCUCAGAGAAAAGCCGUAUAAUGGUGGAAGACCUUGUCCCAAACUGGACCACGUCAACCAGGCUCAAGUGUAUGAGGUGGUGCCCUGCGUCAGUGACUGUGGACAGUAUGUUUGGGUGGCAGAACCUUGGAGUGUAUGGAAAGUUAGCAGUGUGGACCUGAAGAGCAACUGUGGUGAAGGCGUGCAGACCCGGAAAAUCAAGUGUAUGCUCAACACUAUAGAUGGACCAUCUGAGCAGGUGGAGGACUACCUUUGUGAUCCAGAAGAGAUGCCUUUAGGGGCUCGUAACAGCCAUCUGCCCUGUCCUGAGGACUGUGUGCUGUCAGACUGGGGAGCUUGGAGCGCAUGUCCACUGCCCUGCACUGAGAACAGUACACGGGUCAGGGCUGCUUUCCCACUCCGGAGGCCAGGAAAGGAGAAGAAAUGUCCUCCUACAAAAGAGACAGUAUCGUGUAAAAUGAACAGCAACUGCUUUCACUACUCGUACAACAUCACAGACUGGAGCACCUGUCAGCUCAGUGACAGAGCAGUUUGUGGAUUUGGCAUCAAAACCCGCAUGCUUGACUGUGUACGUAGUGAUGGAAAAUCUGUUGACCUCAGCUUUUGUAAAGAGCUGGGUCUAGAGAGGAAGUGGCAGAUGAAUGUCUCCUGUGUAGUGGAAUGUCCUGUCAACUGCCAGCUGUCUGAAUGGUCAGCAUGGUCGGAGUGUACACACACCUGUGGCUUGGCAGGUAAACUGUGGAGGACACGAACUGUAAUUCAAGCCCCUCAAGGUGAUGGAAGGCCAUGCCCAUCCCAGAUGAAACAAUGGAAACCUUGUCUAGUUAAGCCUUGCUACAGCUGGCAGUACAGUGCCUGGUCUGACUGCAAGUCCGAGGGGGCGAGGUGUGGGGAAGGCAUGCGUUUCAGGAAUGUGUCUUGCUUUGUGUCAGAUGGUUCUGGCCAGCAGGACAGCAGUGUGGUUGAUGAUGAUCUAUGUGGAGAUGUGGAACUUUCAGUAAAUGGAGAUAGACAAAUUAUUCUCCAGGAACCUUGUACUGUACCCUGUCCAGGAGAAUGCUACUUGACAGAAUGGACUGUCUGGAGUCCAUGUCAGUUAAGCUGUGUGAGUGGGGAUGACCUGGGUUUUGGCUCAGUCCAAGUUCGAUCCAGAGCUGUAGUUGCUCAGGAUCCAGAAAACCUGCUUGAGUGUCCUGAACAAGAAUUGGAGGCACGGCCAUGUACAGGUGGACAGUGUUUUGAAUACAAGUGGAGGACUGGACCAUGGAGAGGCUCAUCUCGGCAUGUCUGGUGCCAGCGCUCCGAUGGGAUGAAUGUCACAGGUGGUUGUCUGGCACAAGCCCAGCCAAUGGCGGAUCGAUCCUGUGACCCUCCUUGUACCAAGCCAUGGUCUUUGUGCACAGAGGCAGGCGUGUGUGGCUGUGAAGAGGGCUACACUGAAGUGAUGACAUCUGAUGGUGUGUUGGACCAGUGUACUGUCAUCCCAGUGCUGGAGAUCCCGACUGCAAGUGACAACAAAGCUGACGUCAAGACCAUCCGAGCAUUCAACCCCAUCCAGCCUGCAGCCAGCGCACCAGGAAGAGCAGGAAGAACCUGGUUCCUACAACCGUUUGGUCCAGAUGGGACACUGAAGACCUGGGUGUAUGGAGUUGCAGCAGGAGUGUUUGUUUUACUCGUCUUCAUCAUCUCGAUGACAUAUUUAGCCUGUUAUUGUGGUCGUUGCCUAUGCCGCAAGUUGAGGUCUGAUUCCCCUUCAGAUGGGGCUUACUGGAUGGAACCGAGCACCUACACUGUGCCUUACACCUGUCCUGCCUGCCAGAAACUAGAACAAGAUGAGUUUAAUCGGCAGAGCCAGCUCCAACAGGAGCCACAGCAUCAGUGUGCUGCACCGUUCCAGCAGCCUUCAUCUUCACAGCACCAUUUACAGCCACCAGCUCACUUUGAAACUCUUAUUACUUAGUCAGGGCCUCGUCCACUCCCUGUUCCAUCACUGCACAAGCAAGCAGUAUGUGCCUUAAGACAGAACACCAUUUAUCUCCCAGUGGAUCACAUCCUGUGGUGAGCAAAAAGCCAAAGAAGCCACAGCGACGGCAGAUGAACAACAGACUGAAGCCUCUGACUCUGGCCUAUGAUGGAGACGCCGACAUGUAGAAGUCUUCCUCUUCACAGAAGCACUGUACAAAGUUCUGUCCUUGCUCGGGACGCAAGGUUGCUGUUAAUACCUAUUAAUGUCAGGGUCACUACUGGGCAUUGGUCAGCAAAUAUAAGUUUCUGACAGAAAAAGAAACCUCUGAACUCAAGACAUUUAAAGUCCAUGUUUAUUAGCAGCCUUGUGUUCCUGUUUUCCAUUCUUAAGUUUUAAAUGUGUACAUUGUUUUGAAACAGCCUUCAUGACUUCUCUUUCUUCCUCUGGAAGUCUGCCUUUGCUUUAUUGACAUUUACUACCACCAACUGCAUUCAAACCAUAUUCAGUGGAGAGGGGGAAGCAAGAAGAGAUUUUGCUGUAAAAGCACAAAUAUUCAUUCAUUAGUUGUUCAUUUUGUAACAGCUUUGUUGCAUGGUAUUACAUCCACUUCUUGAUCCUGGUUCUUCAAAGAACAUUCAGUCAUUACUGGAUGGGUGCAGCUGAAAAGGGAAAAUUUCACCAAAAAAGGAAAAGUGAGCUUAAAGGAUCCUCGAGCUGCCAACAUUCUGCCUGCCUCUCCGUUCUUAUUUCCAGGCAUAAUUUUGCACUAUAUUAGUGCAGCAUGAAAUGUAUGUCUUGCUUUGCCAUAUGAAAACUGCCUCUCUCAAUACAAGAUGAUGUAUAACUCUUGUGCUAGAAAUGUAAAAAACGACCUUUUGCUAACAGAACUUAACAAUGUUUGAUAAUUUUUGUAUUACCUCUUGUAUGUUGAAUUUUGUAAAUAGAUGUUUUCUGAGAUUUCAUCGUUGGCUUUCUAACAUGCAUUUUACUGCUCUAUGUCCACAUUUCUGCUGGAACUUUUGUUUGAUCUGUAAACUGUAACUCAACAGGAUUUUCUGACCAUUUUAGGAAACUGAAGUUACAUCGUUGUUAUACACUGACCCACAUACAGCUGAAACCACCUCAUGCAUUGUAAGAAAAAAUAGAGGACAACAUUAUCAUUAUAUAAACUUCUGAUCAAACUCCAAAGACAAACAAAAAAAAACAUUGGGUUUUUGUGCUGCUGGUUUGUAACUAUGUUAGCUGGCUAACAUGCGUAAAGAAGAAACAGGAGCAAGAGACAAAUCAGACAUUUAUUGAACAUGCAGCAAGUUGGCUUAUUCAAAAUUUCUAUCAGCAUUCUUGACAUGUUUUCUGUAGGCUGGUUUGAACCUACACCCAGUUUUGCAAACGUUUCUUGCCAUCCAUCCCUGAUAUUUUUUGUGGGUUUCAAUUAGGAGAAUGUGCAGGAUUAUCCAAACAAGGACAAAGUCCUUUGUAGGAUGGUAAAUGGACUUAACUUAGGUACUGAAUUUUUUUGUCAUGCUUUCCAUUCAAAUCACCUUUACACUGUAUUCACCCAGCUGUAAUAAGAAGGUGGAAUCAAACUCCCAAGUUUCCAAUUGCAAAUUGACUUCUCCCACUUCUUCCCACUGAGCCACAGCCAACCUAGAUGGGCAUGGUGAACUGCACUUCUGAAGAAAAUAACUGCAGUGGGAUCUCCUUGUUAUACCAGUGACAUUGGAAACCAUCACCUUUUUUUCUCAUUAGACAAUAAUAAAAAAAUCAGUUUUUCAAUGUGCUGACAAGUCCCAGAAGGCAAGUUUGUGAUAUGGCCUUUGAAGGCUCUUAUUUUGUUCUUUAAGGCCAUCUUUUAGAAGCCACUCUUACAGCAAUUGGACCACAGUCAGUAUUAGUAAGGACCUGAAUUUGGGUCAAGAAUUAACUUGUGUCUUCACAGACACAAGCUUCACAGAAGCAUCCAGCUCAGCUAGGGUGAAAUUUUUUGGGGUCUACCUCUUUUUGUCCUGUAACCCUCAGGAUUCGUCUAAUUCUGCUCAACAUUUCUGCCACAUUCAAUGAUGGAGAACAUAUUGUGCCUUUCCCAUCGGGGAGGCUUGACAGAAUAAAUGCCUGACAGAAAGUUACCUGAAAGUGAGUUUUCCAUUAUUUGCCCGCUCUAUUUUGUCUUUUGCUCCUGUUUCUGCUUUUGCCAUAUUGAAAUCUCUUUUUUUACAAAAUGGUUUUGAUCCACCAGUAUGAAAUGCAAAUACUUCUAAAUUAUUCCCCAGUUUUAAAGUUUUAAUCAGGACAGCAUUUCAGUUCACAUGUUGUUUCUUUUUAAUGGAAAUCUAUAGUUUACAUUCAAUUAGAUUUGUUUUUGUCAUUUAAAGAGUGCAUUUCCUUACUGAGUUUACAACAAUCCAUAUCCCCACACAACCAUCAGUUUUCCAGUUGUACACCUUGUACAGUAUAACUAAACAUCUAAACAUUUGAAAUGCAAACUUUUUCAUUAGUCUGUCAAAGUUACUGCAUUUAGCACAGAGCUUUGUAUGAAAAGAAAGACCUUGCAGUUUGCAGUAGUACUGAUAGAUGACUGAAGCCCAGAUACAAGUGUCUAAAAAGGUUGAAAGACUGGAUUUUAUUGAAGGGUUAUUAUUGUGAUUACAGAGCCCAGUCAUUCUAAAUGAAGCUUGUUAUUGAUUAAAUUUUACUCUAACAAAGACAAUGUACCAUAAACGAUGCCUUUGCUUGAAGGUGGUAUUGUAAUAUUAAAUAUGUCCAAAAUUAGUUUUAGAAAUCAAAACUUUGCAUUACUGUUGGUCUUACCCAGAUAGUUCAGCAUCCCAAGAUGAAUCAGUUAAUAUUUAUUUGAUGUAACAAGUCAUUUUAAGGCCAUAGAAAGGCAUUUUAAUGUUCUGUGAAAUUUGUUGAUGGAAUGUUUAAUUUAUUUUUUCUCAGCAUAUAAUUUGUAAAUAGUAAUUUUAUUUUGUAUUUAUUUAUUGGUAAUGUACCAUAAUGUUACUUUUUUACUGCACAACAUGUUUCACAAAAAGACAAAUGAAAGAAAAAACCAGGAGGAGUGAAUGAGGUUGAAAAAAUGAAAAGCUACCUUGUAAAAAAGUUGGUUAUGAACUUGUUUCUUUCCUACUGUUUCUUUAUAUGUAUUUGAUUAACUGCUGAUAAUAAACAAUGAAAAAUG